ensembl:lncRNA
GUUGUGUUGCAGAUAAUUAAAACACAAUCCAUUAGCUUCUAUACAAAGACUAAAUUACAAGUUACUUUAAUGUUAUACACCUUUUUUUCCUCCCUUUGGGUCUGCUUUUAUCUCUCUCCAUUCAUUCAUCCUGUUUCCAAUUCCCUCAAUUAUGUUUCAUGUCAGCCGGAUGAUCAGGGAGCCGUGGUUACCUGACAGCCGUUGCCAUGGUGACCAGGUUUGGUCUUUCUACUCAAGGAUAUCUGACACUAAUGUUUCCGGGUCACUUCAGGAAUUUUCAAGAGGAAAAAACCAGGCCACCCUUCAGCCAUGACAGAGGUAUUAUAAAUAGAGAGGUAUUGAUCCCAUCUGGACACACUAAUGCACUUUCACAGGCAAACAUUUACACAGCAACACACACACAUACCCAUACACAUGUACAC